rnacentral:rRNA from 1 species
AUUGAACGCUGGCGGCAUGCCUAACACAUGCAAGUCGAACGGGGGUAGGGGCAACUCUACUUCAGUGGCGGACGGGUGAGGAAUGCGUCGGAAUCUACCCUAUGGUGGGGGAUAACACAGGGAAACUUGUGCUAAUACCGCAUGAUGUCGAGAGACCAAAGCAGGGGACCGCAAGGCCUUGCGCGAUAGGAUGAGCCGACGCCCGAUUAGCUAGUUGGUAGGGUAAAGGCCUACCAAGGCGACGAUCGGUAGCUGGUCUGAGAGGAUGAUCAGCCACACUGGGACUGAGACACGGCCCAGACUCCUACGGGAGGCAGCAGUGGGGAAUAUUGGACAAUGGGCGCAAGCCUGAUCCAGCAAUGCCGCGUGUGUGAAGAAGGCCUGCGGGUUGUAAAGCACUUUUGUUCGGGAAGAAAACGGAUCGGUUAAUACCCGGUUCGGAUGACGGUACCGAAAGAAUAAGCACCGGCUAACUUCGUG